AACUUUGCACGGAAUUUUGGUUCCUAUCUGUUUUAAUAAUAGGAUUAAAUGGGAAUCCGGUUAAAAUCCGGAACUGUUCCCGCAACUGUAAGCUUUGUUUGUAGUACUACAAACUCUUGUCUACAUCCUCAAAAACCACUGUUUGUGUUAUGUAUGCUGAUGUAAUUCAGUAACCAGGUCCUCUUAUAUAUUAAAGGGCCGCAUAAAUGGGAAGGUUGGUAGCAAGAAGCAAGUCAGGAGACCUGCCAUUUUCAAAACAUAAAU
rnacentral:ncRNA from 2 species